AUAUAAUGACGAUAUGUAUAUACGGUCUUGACAAAAUACGUGCCAGCAGUCGCGGUAAUACGUAUGAGACUAGCGUUAUUCAUCUUAAAUAGGUUUAAAGGGUACUCAAACGGUCAGAUUAUCCUUUAAUAGGUAAUAUUUGUCUAGAGUUUUAUGUAAGAAGACAGUACUUAGAGUGGAGAGAUUAUAUUCUGUGAUACCAAAGGGACUGGCAACGGCGUAGGCAGUCUUUUAUGUAAAAACUGACGUUGAAGGACGAAGGCAUAGAUCGCAAACAGGAUUUGACACCCCAGUAGUCUUUGCAGACAAUGAUGAAUGCCGUAGAUUAGAUGAGAAUUUAGUCUAUCAAUGAAAAUAAAAGCAUUUCACCUCAAGAGUAAUGUGGCAA
rnacentral:rRNA from 1 species